GUUACUAUAGUUUAUAUAAAACGUUAUAUUUUCAUUAUAAAGAUAAAUGAAGUUAAUUUUAGAAACU
rnacentral:tRNA from 1 species